GGAGAGCCUGCCUGGUUGCGUGGAGGGUUGUUUUAUUCCCACCCCUACCAGCCCCCCUUAUUUUCCCGAGUCUUAUUAAUUUCUCUGUGGGGCUGCAGCUGGAGACCGCGGAGCGCUGGAAAUGACGCUCGGAGCUUUAAUUACCGCAGCCGCUGGACAAGUGUGAGGAAAGCUGACAAGAAAAAGAAGGACAGGAUCGGGGGAGAAGCGAGAAGCUUCCCCCGCCCCCCUUCCCUCCCGAUUUGGACUGGAGGUGCAAGGAAACUGGAAAAAGGAGCCGAACAUAGCCCUGCUGCGGGGAGAGGCCGGAAACCUACCGCCUCUUUGCAAUCAACUUUUUUUGGAAACCUUUUUCCCCCUUCCUUUUUAUUGUUGACCAACCAGUGAGAGUGAGAGAGAAAGUGAGGAGGGAGCGAGAAAGCAAAGGCGCACCCGGGGAAAUAGCUGCACAGUCCGGCCCCGGAGCACCAGGCGCAUACAUUCGAGCACACUCCCACUCGCACGCACACUCACGCGCACACUUCAACCCCUCCUGCGGACCCCGGCCCUGGACCCGCSAGCGCGGACUGGGUCGCCAACCCAGAGAGCCGGUGCACAGAGCGCGCCGCGCCUGCCCGCUUCGCGCCCCCACGCGCGCCUGGCUGGAGGAUCUCCUCCGCGUGCCCGAAAGGGGAUAUGCCAUUUGGACAUGUAAUUGUCAGCACGGGAUCUGAGACUUCCAAAAAAUGAAGCUGGCGACAGGACUGUGGGUCUGGGUGAGCCUUCUCUUGGCGGCAGGGACCGUCCAGCCCAGCGCUUCUCAAUCAGAAAUAACUGAGCUCUAUUUCCAUGGCUGGAGGGAGAAGAAGAAAGAAGAGAAGGAAAGAAAAAAACUGACCUUGGUUUGCAGUCACUCUCAGGCUAACAAGGGGGAGUUACAUGGACAAUUUUUACUGCGUUGCAUUUACUGCUCAACACAUUGCAAGUAACCUCUUGUACUCUAAUCAUUGGGAUAGUCGUUGAUGAUAAUGAAGUGAUGGCAAUAAACAGUCUUUUGACGUUUUCCUGAAUUCUGUG
rnacentral:lncRNA from 1 species